rnacentral:lncRNA from 1 species
GAGAUUUGGCAAUUGAAUUGCAUGCAUUUUUGCAUGUAAUUAGGCUAUAAAUAGAGAUGUUUUCAAAUGUUGAAGGACUUUUGCCUCUUUUAUCAUUUUCAUAAUCUCAACAAAAGAAAAAAAAAGCUUCCAAUCUCAUUUUAUCUCCACUACUUUCUACACCAAAAUUGGGUCCCACAACCCGGUUCUUUGUCUAGAGGAUAGCAGUUGAGUACUAGUGGUGGUCUCGGGUAGAAUUGGUAAGAAGACAUCAAACCUUUUGAAAGCUUCAAAGGUAAUACUUCUUAAAACCCUAAUUUGAUUAGUUUAUGGUUACAUGUUAAUUGUGGCAAUUAGGGUAGAAAUUCGAUUCUUUUUCCGCUGUGCAUGACUUAGUUCUAUCAUGUGGUAUCAGAGCAUGCUUCAUUUUUACCCAAUUGCAUGUGGUGGGUUCAAAUUUAUUAGAUAAAUUUUGGUUUGAACUAAAAUGGAUAUAUUAUGAUUUUGGCUCUAGAUUAAGUGUUUUUGUUCUAAUUAUUGUAAUUAGCCUUGUUAAUGGCUUAUUUUUAUUGUUGCAAAGUGUUUGUAAUUUUUAAAAAAAUAAAAAAAGUCAUUAGAGUUGAAGCUAGGCUGUAAUUGGUUCAACCGGGUGAGAGAAUUGAAAAAAAUGAAGAAAAGAUGGUCACAGACCCGAAAACCCGGUUUUGACCCGCUUCGCGACCCGCACGCGCGCCGCAUGCCCGCGCGCCCUCCUGCGUCCGCACGCGCCCGUGCGCCCGCGCGCCCUCCUGCGCCCGCGCGCGCCGCCCGCCUGCGCCCGCGCGGCCCGCCUGCGCCCGCGCGCCCCGCCUGCGCGCGCCCGCCUGCGCCCGCGCGCCCGCCUGCGCGCCGCACGCCUGCAUGCGCCCGUGCGCCCGCCUGUGCCCGCGCGCCCGCCUGUGCCCGCGCGCCCGCCUGCGCCCGCGCGCCCGCAUGCGCCCGCCGCGCCCGCCUUCGCACGACCCGUGUGCGCCUGGGCCGGUUCAAGCCAAUAAAUUUGGUUUUUGGGCCGGUUCAAGCGGUUUCGGUUGGUUUUUUAGCCGGUUCGAAAUUUUUGGGAGUGGUUCUGUACUACACCAAAUUAAUUAUGUAAUAAUUUAGCACUUAGCUUAAUUUAGGAGCCAAAAAUCAGUCCAUUUUAGGGUGUUUUUUUUAUUUAUGCAUGUGAUGUAUGAUUAAAUUACUUUAAAUUUGUAUGUGCAUUUUGAAUGUCAUAUAGAUUUAAAAUCCCACCAUAGGUUAACAUGUUCAUGCAUUAAAAUGUAUGAUAUAAAGGUUAUAUUGUAUUGUAUGCAUGUUAAUUGAUUAAUAUGGAAAUUAAUUAAUAUGAUUAAUUAAUUAAGUUAUUCUUGAUUAAAUAUGAUUUAAUCAAAUUAAUUAAUUAUUUAAUUUAAUUAAAUAUGAUUUAAUUAAAGUUAAAUAAAUUAAAAUCCAUAUUAAUUGAUUGUUUUUAUUAUAUAUUGAUAAAAUGAUUGAUUAAGUUUAAAAUUUUUAUAAGUGUUAUAAAAUAAAUUAGACUUUUAAAAUCAAUAACAAAGAUUAAAUGCAUGCUCACUUAGGUUAAACAUAUCUUCCAUUUUUCAUAGAAAUAGGUCGAUAUCUUGUAAAACUGGUUACAAAAGGCUCACCUGGUUCAAUCUUGUCAACAAGUCAGAUAAGAUGACUAAGGUUGGAGGUUCUUAAGUUGACGGUUUACGGAACACCUCCUACCUGGAGAUCGUAAUCAGUUCUUGAGCCUAGUUAACCUAGUUUUAUGAGCAUUCGUGAGAGGUGUGAGGUAAUCAAAAUGGUUUUUCACCUAGACAUCAUAGGUUAAAAUCCUGUAUAAUGGUUAUACUUGGAUGUUUUAUCUAGACUUAAGAUUUGUUUAAGUUAGCCUAAAUAUAAAUCUUGAAGUUUGGAUUACCCUAAUUUUUUCUCUAGAACACUUCAACUAGAGAAAAAUAAUGUAUUUUAGCUCUAGUGUCCCUAAGAGUUCACACCGUGAGGUCCAUGCAGGGCUUUGUGCCGUGCAUAGGAGCGGCCUCCCUUCGGAGAGUGUUUGCAUGGAUCAAAAUCAAGGUGAAUAGGGGAAGUAGUUCAUAGUAAGUGGGUGAGGGAUUUGUGACAGCACAUCCCACGGUCUCUUCCAUUAGGUCGCACCGUGAGAUUUCUAUAAUAUGCCUGCUUGUCUGCCCUGGAGCGACGUUCCCUUCGGAGGGUUGUAUUAUAGGAUUCGGAACACCGCGAACUCCAAAACUGGAUAGGAUUUCUUAGAUUAGUUUUCAGAAAUGAUUCUAAUCUAUAAAAUCUGAAAAUGGUGGGUAACACUUACAAGAAUUACUAAGUUGUUAGUAUAUUCUUGACUAAAGUAGGCGAUAACUAAGUGCUAUAAAGAAUAAAGAGUUAUUCUUGAGAUAGCAUCUAGUCAAGAUUGUCUUGGUUCAAAGGAGGAAUAAUCAACUACCCUUCGGAGAAGGUUGUUCUAAACCUUUGAAAUAUUGUUGCAAAAUACAAAUAAUGAAAGGGUACAUUAUUAGUAAUUGCUAAAUUAGAUUGGAUAUUUUUUAUGAUUAUAGUUUUUUCCUAAAAAGAAUAUGUUUGUUUUUCCAGCAUGAAUAGCUCAAUAGUUCAACUUUUAGCUUCCGAAAAACUUAAUGGCGAUAAUUAUGCGGCUUGGAAAUCAAAUCUUAACACAAUACUAGUGGUUGACGAUUUAAGAUUUGUCUUAACUGAGGAAUGUCCUCAAAACCCUGCCUCUAAUGCUAACCGAACUAGUCGGGAUGCAUAUGAUCGAUGGAUAAAAGCUAAUGAAAAAGCCCGUGUUUACAUUCUUGCCAGCAUGUCUGAUGUAUUGGCAAAGAAACAUGAAUCCUUAGCCACGGCUAAAGAGAUUAUGGAUUCAUUAAGGGGAAUGUUUGGGCAACCAGAAUGGUCCUUAAGACACGAGGCAGUCAAAUACAUUUACACUAAGCGUAUGAAGGAAGGGACCUCUGUUAGAGAACAUGUUCUGGACAUGAUGAUGCACUUCAACAUCGCUGAAGUGAAUGGUGGUCCCAUCGAAGAGGUUAAUCAAGUUAGUUUUAUCUUAGAAUCUCUUCCGAAGAGCUUCAUUCCAUUCCAAACGAAUGCGUCUUUGAACAAGAUAGAAUUUAACUUGACAACCCUUCUGAAUGAACUCCAGCGAUUCCAAAACCUAACUAUGGGUAAAGGAAAACAAGUGGAAGCAAAUGUUGCUACCACAAAAAGAAAAUUUAUAAGAGGAUCGUCCUCUAAAACCAAAGCUGGACCCUCAAAACCUAAUACUCAAAUAAAAAAGAAGGGAAAGGGAAAGACUCCCAAACAGAACAAGGGUAAGAAAGCUGCAGAAAAAGGUAAGUGUUACCAUUGUGGCCAAAACGGGCACUGGUUAAGAAACUGCCCAAAAUACCUUGCAGAAAAAAAGGCAGAGAAGGAAACACAAGGUAAAUAUGAUUUACUAGUUGUAGAAACAUGUUUAGUGGAAUAUGAAAAUUCUACCUGGAUACUAGAUUCAGGAGCCACUAACCAUAUUUGCUUCUCAUUUCAGGAAAAUAGUUCUUGGAAAAAGCUUUCAGAAGGCGAGAUCACUCUCAAGGUUGGAACAGGAGAGAUGGUCUCAGCUUCAGCAGUGGGAGAUUUAAAGUUGUUUUUUAGAGAUAGAUAUGUCAUACUUAAGAAUGUCUUAUAUGUACCUCAAAUGAAAAGAAAUUUAAUAUCUAUCUCUUGUAUUUUGGAACAAAUGUAUAGAAUAUCUUUUGAAAUUAAUGAAGCGUUCGUUUUCUAUAAAGGUAUUCUAGUUUGUUCUGCUAUACUUGAAGACAACUUAUAUAAGUUAAGACCAACUAGAGCAAAUUUUGUCUUAAAUACUGAAAUAUUCAGAACAACUGAAACUCAGAAUAAAAGACAAAAAGUUUCUUCUAAUGCCUAUUUAUGGCACUUAAGACUUGGUCACAUAAAUCUCAAUAGGAUUGGGAGAUUGGUUAAAAGUGGGCUUCUAAGUCCGUUAGAAGAUAACUCUUUACCUCCUUGUGAAUCUUGUCUUGAAGGAAAAAUGACCAAGAGAUCUUUUACUGGAAAAGGUCUAAGAGCCAAAGGACCCUUAGAGCUCGUACAUUCGGACCUUUGUGGACCAAUGAAUGUCAAAGCUCGAGGUGGAUAUGAAUAUUUCAUUAGCUUCAUUGAUGAUUAUUCAAGGUAUGGUCAUAUUUACCUAAUACAUCAUAAGUCUAAUAGUCUUGAAAAGUUCAAAGAAUAUAAGGCUGAAGUAGAAAACGAAUUAGGUAAAACAAUAAAAAUACUUCGAUCAGAUCGAGGUGGAGAGUAUAUGGACUUACGAUUCCGAGACUAUUUAAUAGAAAAUGGAAUCCAGUCACAACUCUCUGCACCUAGUACACCUCAACAGAACGGUGUAUCAGAAAGAAGAAACCGGACCUUGUUAGACAUGGUUCGCUCUAUGAUAAGUUUUUCUCAGAUGUCAGAUUCUUUUUGGGGAUAUGCUUUAGAAACAGCUGCUUAUAUUUUGAAUAAUGUUCCCUCUAAAAGUGUUUCAGAAACACCUUAUGAGCUAUGGAAAGGGCGUAAAGGCAGUUUACGUCAUUUUAGAAUUUGGGUUGUCCAGCACACGUGUUGGUACAAAAUCCAAAGAAAUUGGAACAUCGUUCAAAAUUAUGCUUUUUUAUAGGUUAUCCAAAAGAAUCAAGAGGUGGUUUGUUUUAUGAUCCUCAAGAAAAUAAAAUACUUGUGUCAACAAAUGCCACAUUCUUAGAGGAAGACCACAUCAGGGAUCAUCAACCUCGUAGUAAACUAGUAUUAAAAGAAAUUUCCAAAAGUGCUAUAGAUAAACCCUAGUUCAUCCACUAAGGUAGUUGAUAAGACUAGGAAAUCUGGACAAUCACAUCCUUCUCAACAGUUGAGAGAGCCUCGACGUAGUGGGAGGGUUGUUCAUCAGCCUGAUCGCUAUUUGGGUUUAAUUGAAACUCAAGUCGUCAUACCUGACGAUGGCAUAGAGGAUCCAUUAACCUAUAAACAGGCAAUGAAAGAUGUAGAUCGUGACCAAUGGAUCAAAGCCAUGGACCUCGAAAUGGAGUCUAUGUACUUUAAUUCUGUCUGGACUCUAGUAGAUCAACCGAAUGACGUAAAACCUAUUGGUUGUAAAUGGAUCUACAAGAGAAAACGAGACCAUGCCGGUAAAGUACAGACUUUCAAGGCUCGACUUGUGGCAAAGGGUUAUACCCAGAGAGAGGGAGUAGACUAUGAGGAAACUUUCUCUCCUGUUGCCAUGUUAAAGUCAAUUAGAAUACUCUUAUCCAUCGCCACUUUUUAUGAUUAUGAAAUUUGGCAGAUGGAUGUCAAGACAGCUUUUUUGAAUGGUAAUCUUGAAGAGAGUAUCUAUAUGUCUCAACCAGAGGGGUUUAUAAAACAAGAUCAAGAACAAAAGGUUUGUAAGCUUAAAAAAUCCAUUUAUGGAUUAAAACAAGCUUCUAGAUCCUGGAAUAUAAGAUUUGAUACUGCGAUCAAAUCUUAUGGCUUUGAACAAAAUGUUGACGAGCCUUGUGUUUACAAAAAGGUCGUCAAUUCCAUUAUAGCAUUUUUAGUCUUAUAUGUAGAUGAUAUUCUACUUAUUGGAAAUGACGUAGGAUAUCUUACUGAUAUCAAGAAAUGGCUAGCUAUGCAAUUUCAAAUGAAAGAUCUGGGAGAUGCACAAUACGUUCUCGGAAUCCAAAUUGUUCGAAACCGUAAGAACAAAACACUAGCCAUGUCUCAAGCAUCUUACAUAGACAAAAUGUUGUCUAGAUAUAAAAUGCAGAAUUCCAAAAAGGGUCUGCUGCCGUACAGAUAUGGAAUUCAUUUGUCAAAGGAACAAUGUCCUAAGACACCUCAAGAAGUUGAGGAUAUGAGAAAUAUUCCCUAUGCUUCCGCUGUUGGAAGUUUAAUGUAUGCAAUGUUAUGUACUAGACCUGACAUUUGCUACUCAGUAGGGAUGGUCAGUAGGUAUCAAUCCAAUCAUGGACGUGAUCACUAGACAGCCGUUAAAAACAUUCUACAUGCUCAUGUAUCGUACAAAGGAUAUGAUCCUUACUGGAUACACUGAUUCGGAUUUCCAAACUAAUAAAGAUGUUAGAAAGUCUACAUCAGAAUCAGUAUUUACUCUAAAUGGAGGAGCAGUAGUUUGGAGAAGCAUAAAGCAAACUUGUAUAGCUGAUUCCACAAUGGAAGCUGAUCAUUUUACAAAAGCCCUCACGGCUAAAGUGUUUGAGGGUCACCUACACAGUUUAGGUGUACGAUGUUUGUAAACUAGGACAAGUGGGAGACUUAUUGGCCAUGUGCCCUAGUUUCAUAUAUAUUCUCUCACACCACAUCUCUCAUACCACUAGGAAUUUUAGUCCAAGUGGGAGUUACCAUUUGUGACAGCACAUCCCACGGUCUCUUCCAUUAGGUCGCACCGUGAGAUUUCUAUAAUAUGCCUGCUUGUCUGCCCUGGAGCGACGUUCCCUUCGGAGGGUUGUAUUAUAGGAUUCGGAACACCGCGAACUCCAAAACUGGAUAGGAUUUCUUAGAUUAGUUUUCAGAAAUGAUUCUAAUCUAUAAAAUCUGAAAAUGGUGGGUAACACUUACAAGAAUUACUAAGUUGUUAGUAUAUUCUUGACUAAAGUAGCGAUAACUAAGUGCUAUAAAGAAUAAAGAGUUAUUCUUGAGAUAGCAUCUA